rnacentral:lncRNA from 1 species
UACGUAGAACCUUCAAACGCAAAAAAGUACGUGAAAUAAGAUAUGACCAGAACGGUGAAAUACGACUACGGUUGAAAAAUCACAGUAUUCCGGUAAAGUCUUGGUGCCGAUAGUUGACUUACCCUUACUAUUCACUAUGCUGCAGAUUUGGCGUUUGGUGUCUGAUUGACUAUUGUGAUACCUUUCUGGAAGCGUAACGGCGCUACGAGUGAGACACAUUGCUAAUGCUAUGAUGUAUAGGCUUUUUUGGCCAUCCGAGUCCGUUUAGGGCUUGAAAAUACAGUUUUCUUAUUUUCGAUUAGAGUUGACCGUUUCGAUCGAGCCCUUAACGUUGUCGAAUCCAGUUGAAUUCUUUACCAUAGACAUCUUUCGUCAUAAUGAUCAUAUCUGACGGUCGAAUUUUGGUUUGUGAAUUUUAGUCAUCGGAAUCACAACGUGUCUACUAUUUACCGUUAUUCGGGUUUAUGGGGAGCCCUAUCGUCGGAAGGUAAAUGUCUCAAAAUUUUUAUAUGGGCAGUUUCGUCUCAUCUACGUGAGAGUUUUUUGUGUGGAAGGUUUGACCAAACUACGUAAUAUAGAGGGAGAUAUGAGCGUUUUCGUGUGACAAGUGACUAUGGAUUAUGGUUGACCGUUUCGAUCGAGCCCUUAACGUUGUCGGAUCCAGUUGAAUUUUUUACCAUAGACAUAUUUCGUCAUAAUGAUCAUAUCUGACGGUCGAAUUUUGGUUUGUGAAUUUUAGUCAUCGGAAUCACAACGUGUCUACUAACGUUGUAUAACUUGUUUAGUAGGUUAUACAACUUUGUGAACCAACUCUACAUAGGAAGCAAAAUUAUGAAAAAUCUCGUGAAAUAAGAUGUGUUCAAAAUGGUGAAAUACGGCUAUGGUUCAAAAAUCACGUAAAUCGGGUAAAGUCUCGGAGCCGAUAGUAGCGGUCAACCCUAUUUACCGUUAUUAUUCCUUAUGGGGAGCCCUAUCGUCGGAAGGUAAAUGUCUCAAAAUUUUUAUAUGGGCAGUUGCGUCUCAUCUAUGUGAGAGUUUUUAGUGUGGAAGGUUUGACCAAAUUACGUAAUAUAGGGGGAGAUAUGAGCGUUUUCGUGAAUUUAUAGACUUUAGCCGACAAAAAUAUAUGAAAAGUCGUCAGCUAAGGUCAAAAAAUUUCAAAAUUUUUUAGGCGGUAAACCAAAGUUGGAGGAAAAUUUUCAAAGGACUUUAGCCGACGAAAAUAUAUGAAAAGUUGUCGGCUAAAGUCGAAAAAUUUUCAAAAUUUUCAACCAAAAUUUUUUGGCGGUCAACCAAAAUUUUCAAAAGAGUUUAGCCGACGAAAAUAAAGAAUUUCGUCGGCUAAAGUUCUUUAUAUAGGCGAAGAUGGAUGGUAAGAAGUCUAUUAUCUGCCAGAUUUUCUUCUCGGCCUAGCUCCGCCGUCAAGCCACCGGAGACCGUCACACUUGUCCCAAAAGCUUCGCCGUCGUCUCUACUUCAUUGCUGGAUAGGUGGUGCCUCGAGUGGCGCCGCCGUGAGGGAUAAAUCGAGCUCCAAAACUCCGCCGGUUCGGAUUCGGUGUCGAUCAAAUUUCUCCUUCCUUAGGUCACCAUUUGGUGAGUUCUAUAUAUGGAUAAGUUGAGUUUGAUUAGUACUACAUUCCCCUAGAAUUUGGUAGCUCGAUUCGGUGUGUGUGAAGAGAAUCGAAGAUUUGAAGUUUUUAGGGUUUAAAAUUGUGGAUUUUUAUAUUUUGAGUCGAUUGACCUGUUUAGGCUUAGAAUUGAGCUUCGAUUUCUUCUAGAAAGUUGUUCGAAAUGUUGAGACGAAGAUUCUGUCAAAUUUUGGUCGUGAUUGGAGGUGGCCGAAAGUUUCUGCAGUUUUUUUUUUCAAAACCCAGCAACUUUAGCCGACGAUAUUUAAACACUAUAUUCGUCGGCUAUAGUAUUUUUUAAUUUUUUUUAUU